rnacentral:rRNA from 1 species
UACGUAGGUGGCAAGCGUUAUCCGGAAUUAUUGGGCGUAAGCGCGCGCAGGUGGUUUCUUAAGUCUGAUGUGAAAGCCCACGGCUCAACCGUGGAGGUCAUUGGAAACUGGGGGACUUGAGUGCAGAAGAGGAAAGCGGAAUUCCACGUGUAGCGGUGAAAUGCGUAGAGAUGUGGAGGAACACCAGUGGCGAAGGCGGCUUUCUGGUCUGUAACUGACGCUGAGGCGCGAAAGCGUGGGGAGCAAACAGG